rnacentral:rRNA from 1 species
UACAGAGGUCCCGAGCGUUGUUCGGAUUCACUGGGCGUAAAGGGUGCGUAGGUGGUGGGGUAAGUCGGAUGUGAAAGCUCGGAGCUCAACUCCGAAAUGGCAUUGGAAACUACCCUGCUAGAGGAUUGGAGGGGGGACUGGAAUACUUGGUGUAGCAGUGAAAUGCGUAGAUAUCAAGUGGAACACCGGUGGCGAAGGCGGCAUCCUGGACCGGUAUUGACGCUGAGGAGCGAAAGCCAGGGGAGCAAACGGG